rnacentral:rRNA from 1 species
UAGUAUCAGCGUGUCAGCCGCCGCGGUAAUACGUAGGGUGCAAGCGUUAAUCGGAAUUACUGGGCGUAAAGCGUGCGCAGGCGGUUAUGCAAGACAGAUGUGAAAUCCCCGGGCUCAACCUGGGAACUGCAUUUGUGACUGCAUAGCUGGAGUGCGGCAGAGGGGGAUGGAAUUCCGCGUGUAGCAGUGAAAUGCGUAGAUAUGCGGAGGAACACCGAUGGCGAAGGCAAUCCCCUGGGCCUGCACUGACGCUCAUGCACGAAAGCGUGGGGAGCAAACAGGAUUAGAUACCCCUGGUAGUCCACGCCCUAAACGAUGUCAACUGGUUGUUGGGAGGGUUUCUCUCAGUAACGUAGCUAACGC